GGAGAGAUGGCUCAGUGGUUAAGAGCACUGACUGCUCUUCCAGAGACCCUGAGUUCAAUUCCCAGCAACCACA
rnacentral:tRNA from 1 species